UGGCUCAGUGGUAGAGUGCUUGCCUCGCAUGCAUGAGGCCCUGGGUUCAAUUCCUCG
rnacentral:tRNA from 1 species